rnacentral:RNase_P_RNA from 1 species
UGAGUCGGUCGGAUGGUUGCUCUAGGCUUGUUUAUUCAACCCUAGAGAGGAAAGUCCGGGCACCGCAGAACAGGAUGCUCCCUAACAGGGUGAGGUCUGCUUUGGCAGACAAUGGAAAGUGCAACAGAAAGUAAACCGCCUUCGGGUAAGGGUGAAAAAGUGGUGUAAGAGACCACUACUCUUUGAAGAGAUUCAGAGUAUCUGUAAACCCCAUCCGGUGCAAGAUCGAAUAGGCCCUGAGAUGUUGUUCGCAUUGAUCAAAGAGCGGGUAGAUUGCUUGAGAUUCAUGGCAACAUGAAUACUAGAUGAAUGACCAUCAUAGAAACGGUCUUGAUCGUUCCUAUACAAAACUCGGCUUAUAGACCGACUCAAUUC